rnacentral:lncRNA from 1 species
UUGGACCAAAAGUCCAAGGUAUAGUUCUCCAAAGAAUGAAAUGAAAGAUGACCUUGAGGUAUGAAAAACGGCUUGUUCCGAGGUCACUGGAGAAAAUUUAAAAUAGAUGCAAUAUAUUGAAAUGUGUGGCAGGACAAAAAUGACUUGAGUUGCAUCUUGAUAUUUAAUAGUCCCUGAAGAGUUAAAGAUGCUCUCGGGAAUGUAUCAAACUCUGGAAGAGUUAGAACAAACCGUGUAUAAGGUAUCUUGAACUGGUAACUGGUGAUAUGUUUACGGCACGAUUUGCCGAUUACCAUUUUAAUGAGGAUGAAUUUUCAGCAUUAGGGGGAG